rnacentral:other from 11 species
GCUCUUUAGCGUUUUAUGGAUUUACCACCUGAUUGGUCAAAUCUAGUUGGGCGUUGCGCAAACUCUAAUUUAUUGAUUACA